CAGAACCAUUCGAUAAUGUUAUAAAGUUACUCAGAGCUUGAUAAUGGUCUAACGUAAAUCUAACGUUAAUCCUUCUCACAGAUACCCACCAAGGCAGAAUAUGGCCACUUGGAAGUAAGCUUACCUUUACUAAAGGAUCUAAUGGCUACUGGAGCUGGCAGCUUUCGUUCAUGAAGAUAUGGUGAAAAGGAGUAAGGAGAAGUUUGGGAGAGUCAGCCGGUCCAUGGAACUUGUAAUGACUCAGCGCUGAUCUAUGCCAGAUGUAAAACCCCUGCUGUCAUUGGUGAGGCUACCACUGCUAUU